rnacentral:rRNA from 1 species
AGAUUGAACGCUGGCGGCAGGCCUAACACAUGCAAGUCGAGCGGUAGAGAGGUGCUUGCACCUCUUGAGAGCGGCGGACGGGUGAGUAAUGCCUAGGAAUCUGCCUAGUGGUGGGGGAUAACGGUUCGGAAACGGACGCUAAUACCGCAUACGUCCUACGGGAGAAAGCGGGGGACCUUCGGGCCUCGCGCCAUUAGAUGAGCCUAGGUCGAUUAGCUAGUUGGUGAGGUAAUGGCUCACCAAGGCGACGAUCCGUAACUGGUCUGAGAGGAUGAUCAGUCACACUGGAACUGAGACACGGUCCAGACUCCGUAC